AUCAGUGGCUCAGGACGACGCUGGCGGCGUGCUUAACACAUGCAAGUCGAACGAUGAGAUCAGUGCUUGCGCUGGUUGAUUAGUGGCGAACGGGUGAGUAAUACGUGAGUAACCUGCCCCCUUCUUUGGGAUAAGCCUUGGAAACGGGGUCUAAUACCGGAUAUUCCUGUCUCAGCGCAUGUUGGGGUGGGGAAAGUUUUGUCGGUGGGGGAUGGGCUCGCGGCCUAUCAGCUUGUUGGUGGGGUGAUGGCCUACCAAGGCGUCGACGGGUAGCCGGCCUGAGAGGGUGACCGGCCACACUGGGACUGAGACACGGCCCAGACUCCUACGGGAGGCAGCAGUGGGGGGAUAUUGCACAAUGGGCGCAAGCCUGAUGCAGCGACGCCGCGUGAGGGAUGACGGCUUUCGGGUUGUAAACCUCUUUCGUUACCGAACAAGGCUCUGCUUUUUGGUGGGGUUGAGGGUAGGUGGAUAAGAAGCGCCGGCUAACUACGUG
rnacentral:rRNA from 1 species